UCCAGAAUGCGACUCUCCCUGGAGUCAAG
rnacentral:sRNA from 1 species